AUUGAACGCUGGCGGCAUGCCUUACACAUGCAAGUCGAACGGCAGCACGGGUGCUUGCACCUGGUGGCGAGUGGCGAACGGGUGAGUAAUACAUCGGAACGUACCUUAUCGGGGGGGAUAACGCAGCGAAAGCUGUGCUAAUACCGCAUACGCCCUGAGGGGGAAAGCGGGGGAUCGAAAGACCUCGCGCGAUUAGAGCGGCCGAUGCCUGAUUAGCUUGUUGGUGGGGUAAAAGCCCACCAAGGCGGCGAUCAGUAGCUGGUCUGAGAGGACGAUCAGCCACACUGGGACUGAGACACGGCCCAGACUCCUACGGGAGGCAGCAGUGGGGAAUUUUGGACAAUGGGGGCAACCCUGAUCCAGCAAUGCCGCGUGAGUGAAGAAGGCCUUCGGGUUGUAAAGCUCUUUUGUCAGGGAAGAAACACCGGCUCUAACACAGUCCGGGAAUGACGGUACCUGAAGAAUAAGCACCGGCUAACUACGUGCCAGCAGCCGCGGUA
rnacentral:rRNA from 1 species